rnacentral:rRNA from 1 species
AACGAACGCUGGCGGCAUGCCUAACACAUGCAAGUCGAACGAGAUCUUCGGGUCUAGUGGCGCACGGGUGCGUAACGCGUGGGAAUCUGCCCUUUGGUUCGGAAUAACAGUUGGAGACGACUGCUAAUACCGGAUGAUGACGAAAGUCCAAGAUUUAUCGCCAGAGGAUGAGCCCGCGUAGGAUUAGCUAGUUGGUGUGGUAAAGGCGCACCAAGGCGACGAUCCUUAGCUGGUCUGAGAGGAUGAUCAGCCGCACUGGGACUGAGACACGGCCCAGACUCCUACGGGAGGCAGCAGUGGGGAAUAUUGGACAAUGGGCGAAAGCCUGAUCCAGCAAUGCCGCGUGAGUGAUGAAGGCCUUAGGGUUGUAAAGCUCUUUUACCCGGGAUGAUAAUGACAGUACCGGGAGAAUAAGCUCCGGCUAACUCCGUGCCAGCCGCCGCCGUAA